AAGCAGUGACAGCUGCUUCCACAUCCUGAUACUCACACUGUAGCUCAGGCAUUGCAACCCUCCAAGUGAGACAGAUCCACUAAGUUUCAUUUGAGUAAGGUCCUUUGCUGCCAGCAUGAUGUCGUAUUUAUAAUAUGUGGAGGAGAGAGAGCUCACCAUGCUCAGAAGCCUCUGGUAUGUCAGAACCAUGCUGUCUUCCAUGGGACUUCCUUUGUGAAGAGCAUCCAUUUAAAAGACUUUUAUGAAUACAUGGUUUCAAUCAAGUCCCCAAAGAACACAUUUGUCUUCUGAGCUGCUGGCAGUUUUGAGCUGAAGUUGUAGAAACUCACAGAAACAUAUGUUAGAGUGGGAAGUUGCAUAUCAACUCAUCCAGUCUUUUCCAAAGUAUGUCAAUAAAUAUUACCUGAAAGAAAAGAAGAGGGAGAGUCUGUAGUCAAGUAAGUUUGUAUAAUGGAAGGUAAAACAAAAUGGGACAGACACCUUGAAUAUACUCAUAUGUGUUUCAAAG
rnacentral:lncRNA from 1 species